rnacentral:lncRNA from 1 species
GUCAAUGAGCACUAUUUUGGAUUAUUCAAUUUUGGGAAUACCUGCUACUGCAACUCAGUUCUUCAAGCACUUUAUUUUUGUCAUCCAUUUCGGGAAAAUGUUCUAGAAUACAAAAGUCAGCCCAGAAAAAAAGGAGAACCUUCUCACCUGCCUGGCAGACCUCUUCCACAGCAUAGCCACCCAGAAGAAGAAGGUCGGCGUGAUCCGGCCCAAGAAGUUCAUCACAAGAUUGCAGAAAGAAAACGAGUUGUUUGACAACUACAUGCAACAAGAUGCCCAUGAAUUCUUAAAUUACCUACUCAAUACAAUUGCUGA